rnacentral:rRNA from 1 species
CAGCCGCCGCGGGAAUACGAAGGGUGCAAGCGUUAAUCGGAAUUACUGGGCGUAAAGCGUGCGUAGGCGGUGAGUUAAGUCUGCUGUGAAAUCCCCGGGCUCAACCUGGGAAUGGCAGUGGAUACUGGCUCGCUAGAGUGUGUCAGAGGAUGGUGGAAUUCCCGGUGUAGCGGUGAAAUGCGUAGAGAUCGGGAGGAACAUCAGUGGCGAAGGCGGCCAUCUGGGACAACACUGACGCUGAGGCACGAAAGCGUGGGGAGCAAACAGGAUUAGAUACCCCCGUAGUCCCUGUCUCUUAUAU